rnacentral:lncRNA from 1 species
CCCGGCCUGCGAGCCCUGGGGAGGGGGGGUGCGGGUCUGUAACCCGGCCUGCGAGCCCUGGGGAGGGGGGGUGCGGGUCUGUAACCGCACCUGCGAGCCGCGGGGGGCAGCGGGUCUGUAACCCAGCCUGCGACCAGCUGGGGGCUGCGGGUCUGUAACCGCGCCUGCAACCCCGGGGAUCUGCGGGUCUGUAACCCGGCCUGCGACCAUCUGGGGGCUGCGGGUCUGUAACCGCGCCUGGCGGGGGGGUUGUGGGUCUGUAACCGGGCCUGCGACCAGCUGGAGGCUGCGGGUCUGUAACCGCGCCUGCUAGCCGCAGGGGCUACGGGUUUGUAACCGGGCCUGCGAGCCGCGGGGGGGCCUGCGGGUCUGUAACCGGGCCUGCGAGCCGCGGGAGCGCAGAGGUCCGCGCAGAGGUCCGCGCGGCGGCCGCCUCCCCCUUCUCCUUUGUGCCGAGGGACGCCCGGGGGCUGCGGCCGCGCUGAGCCCCCGCCGGGGCCCCGCCGCCGUCUGGUCCGAGGGCUCCUGAAGGCCUCAACCAGGGCACGUGGGUCACCCAGAACAGAAUCGGCCUCGCCGCCGGGGCUCUGGUUCCGGGGCUGGGAUUUCCUGCUGCCUGGCUGUGUCUCAGGCAUGCUUUGCCUCCGGGGAUUAGAGGAAGGAUAACAUAUGGACGUGGAAAACCUCUGAUACAACCUACAGAGCUAGACAACAGCUGCUAUGUGGGCCAGUUUACCGAGGAGAGCAUUCGCCACCAGCUGGGGGGACUGAGUCAUUCAUUCAUCAAAAACGCAGGACUGUCUACCAACUGUGGAAUUAGCUGACAUUUAUGAAUGUAUCACCGGAACCUCCUUGCCUUGUGAUUCCUGUUGAGUUGGACCAAUGGGAAGCAUUAUCAGAAGAUCAAAAGAAGGAAGGAGAGAAAUACCAGCCUGUGAAUUACCCUCUUCUCACCUUUGUAUUAGGCCAAAAUUUUAGCCCUACACUGGCCUUCUAAUUACAAUGCCUGUUCAAAGACUCUUUUCCAUGGCUAUAGCUCUCUUGGGUCUCUAAUAAUAACUUUUCCUUCCAGUGCCCCUUCAGGUGUAGGGUUGUAAAGGCUUACCACUUUGCUUGGUCCUUGAACCAUUCCCACACCUCUGUAAUUGUCCUUCAUUAUAUUCUUUUCAAUUAAAGCAUUUUGCAUGCUGCUUCUGUUUUCUGCCUAGACUCUGACUGAUAGGAUAAAUAAGAAAUGCCAAAAGGUCGCUGCUUUGUUUUCCUUAAAAACACCCAUAUUUCUGUCCUGGAGAAAAAUAUAUUCAAAGUCAU